rnacentral:rRNA from 1 species
GAUGAACGCUGGCGGCGUGCCUAAUACAUGCAAGUCGAGCGAACAGACGAGGAGCUUGCUCCUCUGACGUUAGCGGCGGACGGGUGAGUAACACGUGGAUAACCUACCUAUAAGACUGGGAUAACUUCGGGAAACCGGAGCUAAUACCGGAUAAUAUAUUGAACCGCAUUGUUCAAUAGUGAAAGACGGUUUUGCUGGCACUGAUAGAUGGAUCCGCGCCGCAUUAGCUAGUUGGUAAGGUAACGGCUUACCAAGGCGACGAUGCGUAGCCGACCUGAGAGGGUGAUCGGCCACACUGGAACUGAGACACGGUCCAGACUCCUACGGGAGGCAGCAGUAGGGAAUCUUCCGCAAUGGGCGAAAGCCUGACGGAGCAACGCCGCGUGAGUGAUGAAGGUCUUCGGAUCGUAAAACUCUGUUAUUAGGGAAGAACAAAUGUGUAAGUAACUAUGCACGUCUUGACGGUACCUAAUCAGAAAGCCACGGCUAACUACGUG